rnacentral:rRNA from 1 species
ACUCAAAGGAAUUGACGGGGACCCGCACAAGCGGUGGAGCAUGUGGUUUAAUUCGACGGUAAGCGAGGAACCUUACCAAGGCUUGACAUGUAGCUGCAAGCGCACGGAAACGUGUGACCUUCGAGGGUGCUACACAGGUGCUGCACGGUUGUCGUCAGCUCGUGUCGUGAGAUGUUCCCUUAAGUGGGAGAACGAGCGCAACCCCCAUGAUAUGUUAAUUUUCAUGUCAGACUGCCAGCGUUUAAGCUGGAGGAAGGUGGGGAUGACGUCAAAUCAGCGUGGCUCUUACGCCUUGGGCGACACACGUGCUACAAUGGGAAAGAACAAUGGGACGCAAUAUCGUAAGAUGGAGCAAAUCCUCUCAAAAAUUUCCCUCAGUUCAGAUUGAGGGCUGCAACUCGCCCUCAUGAAGCUGGAAUCGCUAGUAACCGUGAAUCAGCCUCGUCACGGUGAAUACGUUCUCGGGUUUUGCACACACCGCCCGU